UUGAUUAUGGCUCAGAACAAACGCUGGCGGCGUGUCUUAAGCAUGCAAGUCGAGCGGCAGGCGCAGCAAUGCGCUGAGAGCGGCGGACUGGUGAGUAACGCGUGGGUAAUCUACCUUUGGCAUGGGGAUAGCCACUAGAAAUAGUGGGUAAUACCGAAUACGUUCCCUGGGGGGAGGUUUCAGGGAAGAAAGGGUGCUACGGCACCGGCCGGAGAUGAGCUCGCGUCCCAUUAGCUUGUUGGUGAGGUAACGGCCCACCAAGGCGAUGAUGGGUAGCCGGCCUGAGAGGGUGUACGGCCACACUGGGACUGAGAUACGGCCCAGACUCCUACGGGAGGCAGCAGCUAAGAAUAUUCCGCAAUGGACGAAAGUCUGACGGAGCGACGCCGCGUGGAUGAUGAAGGCCGAAAGGUUGUAAAGUCCUUUUGCUGGGGAAGAAUAAGUGUGGGAGGGAAUGCCCGCAUGAUGACAUGAACCGGCGCAUAAGCCCCGGCCAACUACGUGCCAGCAGCCGCGGUAACACGUAGGGGGCGAGCGUUGUUCGGAAUUACUGGGCGUAAAGGGCAUGUAGGCGGUCUGGUAAGCCUGGCGUGAAAGGCCACAGCUCAACUGUGGGAUUGCGUUGGGAACUGCUGGGCUUGAGUUAUGGAGAGGGAGCUAGAAUUCCUGGUGUAGGGGUGAAUCUGUAGAUAUCAGGAAGAAUACCGAUGGCGAAGGCAAGCUCCUGGCCGAUGACUGACGCUGA
rnacentral:rRNA from 1 species